AUCACGUAAGCGGUAAGCCUCCAGAAAAGAAUUUGUAAAACCCUAACAAGUACCACAUACAGAGUCUGAGAGAGAUGACGCAGAAAGGGAACCUAUUUAAAGGCAAACAAAAUAAGAAAGUAACACCUCCCAACCGCCAUAGAAAAGCCGUUCAUAUUCGCAAAGGGAAAAGGGUUGUGAAGCCUUGAAAGAUUACAAAAGACAUGGAUACUGAUAGGGAACUGACCAAAUUCAUAAAUCACUGCAACGAAGUGAAGGCAGCUACCCUUGCGAACAAGGAAGGUGGCCAACUAAGUAUUGUCAAAACGUCAGCUGGGUCUACUGCUAACAAGAAGGAUGAAAAACCCGACUCCAAUUAGUGGGUUGUUGAAAAACUCUUUGGGAAGAAAAAUUAGCGGGUUAGGUAAGGGGAAUGAAUGGAGAUUGUGAAUGAUUUUGAUAGGAAAAAGGCGGACUAUGAAAUGAACAAGAGAAGAGAAGUUAAAUUUGGAGAGAGAGAUAGAAGGCGAAGAAAAAGUGUUUUAGGCUUUAACUCGCACGUUGAGAAAGAGAAGGAGAAAGAAUGCCAAUUUGGGUUUACAAAACGGGUAGAGUCGGGUACGGGUCAAAACGGGUCUAAUUAUAUAGAUCUAUACUCUAUAUUAUUUACUCUGGUACAAGUUGACUCAAGGGUCCUAACCCGUUUUGUCAGGUCUAAUCAUCGGAAUAGAUUUAUCUAAAACACUAAUAAAAAUGUCAUAAAUAGACUACUUUGUAUAUUUAUUCAAAAAUGUUAUGCAGCAAGAUAAACA